rnacentral:lncRNA from 1 species
CAGGACUUUAAAUAGCAGAGCAUUCCUGAACAAGAAAUUAGCACAUGGGAAAGGGAAAUCUGUUUCUUUUUUUUCUUUCUUUCUUUUUUUAGGAUGCCUUGGAGACUCCCUAGGCUAUUUUCCCUUAAAAAAAAUAAAAUUUAAAAAAAGAGGAAAAAAAAAGAAAGCAGAGAAUAAUUAUUAAAAAAAGAAAUACACAUCAGUAAACAGUUACAUGAACAGCCUUCUCCACAAACCAGCUGACUGCAAAGCCAGCAUUGCUGCUAAUAAAUUAGAGGAUGCAAGUGCAGCUCUUGCCCACAAGUCUCUAUACAAUGGGAAACCUCUUUUCAAACAUCCACAGCUCCUGGCAGGCCUCAGAUGGUCGCUGGGGGUUCCCUUUGCCCUCCAAGUACCUGCAUCUCACUGAUCCUGCAUCUGCUGCUGCAUCUUCUGCAGCAUCUCUUGCAUUCGCCGCAGCUCCUCAUCCUUCAUCUUGAUCAGUUUCUCCGUCUCAGUGUCUG